rnacentral:rRNA from 1 species
UACGAAGGGGGCUAGCGUUGCUCGGAAUCACUGGGCGUAAAGGGUGCGUAGGCGGGUUUUAGUUACAGGGGUGAAAUCCUGGAGCUCAACUCCAGAACUGCCUUUGAUACUGAAGAUCUUGAGUCCGGGAGAGGUGAGUGGAACUGCGAGUGUAGAGGUGAAAGUUCGAUAGAUAUCAGGUGGAAACAACCACGUGGCGGA